ensembl:snoRNA
CGCACUGUUUGGUAUCUGCAGCUAGCAGUGCCAUCUGCUGGUUUGUUCAUAAGUCAGUGCAAGAGAAAUUCAACAUUAGGCAUCGUUGGUCUCCUUGCUGUGGUGUGUGGAGUCCUGGUUAAUGUGUUGAGACACAUUUCUUUUAUAGUAAAA